rnacentral:rRNA from 1 species
CCUACGGGUGGCAGCAGUGAGGAAUAUUGCACAAUGGGGGAGACCCUGAUGCAGCGACGCCGCGUGAGUGAUGAAGUAUCUCGGGGUUGAAAGCUCCAUCAGCAGGGGAGAAAAUGACGGUACGUGUCUAAGUAGCGACGGCUAACUACGUGCCAGCAGCCGCCGGAAUACGGAGGGGGCACGCGUUAUCCGGAUUUACUGGGUGUAAAGGGAGCGUAGUCGGGAAGACAAGUCAGAAGUGAAAGGUCAGGGCUCAACCCUGGGACUUCUGUUGAAACUGACGGUCUUGAGUGCAGGAGAGGUAAGCGGAAUUCGUGGUGUAGCGGUGAAAUGCGUAGAUAUUACGAAGAACACCGGUGGCGAAGGCAGCUUACUGGACUGUAACUGACGUUGAGGCUCGAAAGCGUGGGGAGCAAACAGGAUUAGAUACCCGAGUAGUC